GGGGAUAUAGCUCAGUGGCACAGCCCCUGCUUGCUAAGCACAUAGUACUGAGUUCAAGUCCCAGUGUCCCCC
rnacentral:tRNA from 1 species